rnacentral:rRNA from 1 species
UACGUAGGGUGCAAGCGUUAAUCGGAAUUACUGGGCGUAAAGCGUGCGCAGGCGGUUAUAUAAGACAGUUGUGAAAUCCCCGGGCUUAACCUGGGAACCGCAUUUGUGACUGCAAGGCUAGAGUACGGUAGAGGGGGAUGGAAUUCCGCGUGUAGCAGUGAAAUGCGUAGAUAUGCGGAGGAACACCGAUGGCGAAGGCAAUCCCCUGGACCUGUACUGACGCUCAUGCACGAAAGCGUGGGGAGCAAACAGG